CUGUGCCUCGCACGCAUCGCUUCUGAAGAUUCCUAUAUUUUUCUGCCUCGCGCCAGGCAUUCGCCCGUUCCACUAGCCCUCGUCUCCUUCCAGACCGAGGCCUCACUUUCCCCACCGUGUUCUCGCUCUCUUCUUCCUCUUGAUUCCAUUUCUUUCUCCAUAGUCUGGCAUUUCCCCAAAAUCCCUACUCUUUCUCAAAAAAAAUCCGCCCUUCUCAACCAACAUGGAUUCCUAGCCUGGAGGUUCCGCACCCUCAACAUUCAAUCGAAGAACUACCGUACCCCGCGGAUCUGGUGGUUCUUCUUCCAUUUGUACUGAGGUUGAUAGAGCCUAACCUCCUUUGCUACUGUGGUGUCCCGGCGCGGAGGCUAAUAUCCGGGACCGAGAUGCAAACUUUGGAUCUGGAAGAUGUUCUCAUGCAAUUUGUUGGGGAUAUGGUGGACUUCUGUGUCUCGAACAUUGCUAAGGUGGUUUUGCCUUCUCUUACACUACAGGAAGAACAUGGUUUGAACUUUGAACAGAGCAGAGGACGCAGGACGGAAAUCACGGCACCUGCCUUCCUUGAUGAUUUGAUGUUGUUGGUUAAUUAAGUCUUUUGAUUGUUCUUAAAAUCAUUGUGUCGUUACAAAUUUAGUGGUGUGCACCCUUGUGAGCAAGUUGUUGCCGGAUUGAUCGGAGAAGUGAAACAAAGCUUUGAAGGAGAUUCAUUACCUGAAGAAGUUAAGAAGAGCAUUAGUGAAGUAGGCUCUUGGCCCUAGCUUACAACCUCGUUGUAGUCCAUUUUUGCAGAGUCAGUGUACUAAAAUGUUUGUAAACUGAUGCACAUGGUUCGAACCCGUUCGUGGAUAUAGUAGGAAGUGCUAUGUGGAGCCAUUAUAACUCUACUUAAUGAAAUGGAUUUCUUGUAUUAUUUUGCCUGCAA